CCUACGGGUGGCAGCAGUGAGGAAUAUUGGUCAAUGGGCGAGAGCCUGAACCAGCCAAGUCGCGUGAAGGAUGAAGGUCCUAGGGUUUGUAAACUUCUUUUAUAUAGGAAUAAAGUGAGGAACGUGUUCCUUUUUGUAUGUACCGUAUGAAUAAGCAUCGGCUAACUCCGUGCCAGCAGCCGCGGUAAUACGGAGGGUGCGAGCGUUAUCCGGAUUUAUUGGGUUUAAAGGGUGCGUAGGUGGUUUGUUAAGUCAGCGGUGAAAGUUUGCGGCUCAACCAUAAAAUUGCAGUUGAAACUGGUAGACUUGAGUGCAGGUGAGGGAGGCGGAACGCGUGGUGUAGCGGUGAAAUGCAUAGAUAUCACGAAGAACUCCGAUUGCGAAGGCAGCUUACUAAACUAUAACUGACACUGAAGCUCGAAAGCGUGGGUAUCAAACAGGAUUAGAUACCCCAGUAGUC
rnacentral:rRNA from 1 species